rnacentral:rRNA from 1 species
UACAGAGGUCUCAAGCGUUGUUCGGAUUCAUUGGGCGUAAAGGGCGCGUAGGCGGCGGGGUAAGUCGGGUGUGAAAUCUCAGAGCUCAACUCUGAAACUGCACUCGAUACUGCUCUGCUUGAGGACUGGAGAGGAGAAUGGAAUUCCCGGUGUAGCGGUGAAAUGCGCAGAUAUCGGGAGGAACACCGGUGGCGAAGGCGGUUCUCUGGGCCUUACCUGACGCUGAGGAGCGAAAGCGUGGGGAGCAAACAG